rnacentral:rRNA from 1 species
GACGAACGCUGGCGGCGUGCUUAACACAUGCAAGUCGAACGGAGAUUAUUAAUGAAGCUUGCGAUUUAAUAAUCUUAGUGGCGGACGGGUGAGUAACGCGUGGGCAACCUACCCAUAAGCGGGGGAUAACAGUUGGAAACGACUGCUAAUACCGCAUAAGCUAUUAAGGUCACAUGACCUUAAUAGUAAAGGUGGCGAUUUUACAUUGCUAUCACUUAUGGAUGGGCCCGCGUCUGAUUAGCUAGUUGGUGGGAUAGCAGCCUACCAAGGCAACGAUCAGUAGCCGGCCUGAGAGGGUGACGGCCAACGACUCGGGACUGAGACACGGCCCAGACUCCUACGGGAGGCAGCAGUGGGGAAUAUUGCGCAAUGGGGGAAACCCUGACGCAGCGACGCCGCGUGAGCGAAGAAGGCCUUAAGGGUCGUAAAGCUCUGUUGUAAGGGACGAAUGUUUAUCUGGCGAACAGUCAGAUAAAGUGACGGUACCUUACCAGCAAGCCCCGGA